ensembl:lncRNA
CAAUUAAGUAGAAAUAACUCUUUAAAGUAACAACUGUUCAUUUAAUGUAUAUUAAUAGAUAUUUUUCAUUGUAAAAAAAAUCAAAAAUGAUGGUUAUCACAUCAGAAAUCAUGAAAAUAAAAAAUCAUAACAAAAGCAAUAAACCAAAAUCAGUCUGCUUGUUGAGUUCAAUCAGGUGCCUGGGAUGUGCAUUUUAAUGUUAUUUUCGUUUGUCAUUUGAUCCUUAUUUUAUAGAACAACAUCAGAUUACCCAGUUUUAUUCAAGCGAAAAUAAAUAAACAAACAAACAAACAAACAAACAAACAAACAAACAAACAAACCUGCCAAUAUCAGGAUACGUCAGACCAAGUAGAAAUAACGCUUGUAACAAAUAUACAUUUAUUUGUAUUAAUAGGCAUUUUUCAAAGAAAACAGAGAAAAAAGUGAUCAAAAAGACAUGAAAAAAAGAUAAAAAAAAAAAAAAAAACAUUAUUACAAAAAUACCAAAAUCAUUCUGCGUGCUGAGUUCAGAUGUAUACAGGUGGCAGGAAUGUUUUCGUUUGAUUAUUUUAUUCAAGGAACUAACGGUCCAUAAUUAAAAUCAUCGUCAUCAACAUACUGUGUUUUCCUCGUCUCUUGUGUGUAAAGUAUCGUUUCUCUCGCGCUUUCUCUGUCAGUGAGUGAGUGGACGUGCGUAAAACACGAACCUGUGCGCUCGCGAUUAAAAGCCCAGUCACCAUAACAACCGCCCGACCAAUAGAAGAACGGGAAGCUGUUUACAAGGGGGUGUCUCGUUGCUGGGGUGACCGGACAAACGUCCUGCGGCAGGUAUUAAACUGGCCCCGGAGCUUGUGCUGCCCUGGAGACCUUGAACUGAGACGCGCAGAGCCACAUUCUCCUGGAGACUCCCGUCUGGACCUUACUGCGCCUGAUCGGAUAACGCUUUUCUCGCUCUUUUCUGAAAACAGCUCGUGUGUGUGUGUUAUUGGAUGCUAUUUCCCUGUCACUCGAGUCAAGACAGGUUAAAUCAAGAGAUAGCUCUUUAGUUCUUACUGAACAAUUGCAGGUCACCUCGUCUUACAUCGUAAACAUCUGAAUACUGAAGGCAAAAGCGUAUUUUGUGAGCUUCCAUGAAUUUCAGUGCACCUGCCGUGCUGAGGAAUGUUAGUGGUCCGGGAUCGGCUCUAUUGUGUGUUCACAGACACCAGUUAUGAGCUGUUGUAAAGCCUGGCCUGCGAAGUUUCAGGAAGCUUCUAUGACCUCUGGAGAAUCCAAAUAAAGCCGCAUGCCCCUAUAAAGACA